ACCUAAAAAAUAAGUAAAAUGGAAUUACACUCACAUAAAUCCAAAAAAUAAUGUUAAAUGACUUUGAAAAGCCUAAAUCAAACAUCAACAAAUUAUUUUGAUUUGAAAAUCGUAAAUCGAAAAAUCAAAAAAGAACAAUAAAGAAAAUAUUGAGUACUGGAGUAAAAAACUAAAAAUCAAUUUUCAGACUGAAAUUAAAAACUAAUCUAGAAUUAAAAACUAAAAAUCGAACAGUACUAGAGUAGUAUAGAACCACAACAUACCUUGUGUUCUUGUUAGUGCGAGAUUCGGGAUUGUUGAACUCGAUUUUAGAGAGAAGAACAGGUCUGGUUCUGUUCUCUCAUGUUUUGGAAGUUGUGUUGUGUGACUUCACUUCCGCUGAAAAGGAGAGAGAGAGAAGAAGUCAUCUUUUGGUUUUGCAGAGAGAGAAAGAGAUGGAAGAGGAACCAUUUUUUUGGUUUUGGAGACAGAGAGAGAGGGAGGAGAGAGAGAGAGAGAGGAAAUAGUUUUGUUUUUUUGGUUCUGCAGAGUUUUCAACUGUUGGGAAGUUGUGUGACUUUUUAUUGUUAAUGAUAGAGUCAGGUGAGAAAAUCUCAGCGUGAGAGAUUACAUUGGGAAUCCAAACAUUUGUAAUAUUUUAUGUAUAUAUAGCGGUUUGGAUCGGGUUAUACGAUUUCGAUAGGCACAAAUUUGAUGACCAAACCAUAAUCCGUAAAAUCUAUAUUAUUUAGUCCACAGCUGACCGUAAUUGUAUGCAAAACCGUCCACGUGGCCUUUGGAUCGGGCGGGCCGUUCGGUUGGAUAGGGUAGUGCGGUUCCAUGCACACCCCUAAAUUCAAUGGGAACUUCAUUUUUCUUGUGAAGAGCAAAAUGUUUAGUUGCAUUCACCUCAUUUUCUUUGACUUUCUUGGCUUUCGAACCUUGAUCAUGACAAUCUUUCAUGCUUUCUUUAGUAAGCAAAUUAAUUUUUGCCUUUGUUUCUUCAAUAUCCUCAAUGUUAGCCUCUUUCAUAGUUUUUUCAAAAUCUUUUACACUAUCAACCUUUUGCUCCUGGAUAUUAGUCUUCUGUAAAACAACAGCCACAAGUCCUUCCAUAGAUGCUCUCAAUCCAUUGAAAGUUAUUGAUAGUAUGCACAUCACUCUUUAUUGUUACAACAUCCUCCUUAAUUAUUGCGAAAUCCUUCUUUAACAUCGAAACAUCUUUCUUAGGAGCUCUAUAAUUUGUUAAUGAGGCUUCAAACUUUCAAUUUAAUUCAAUACUUUUCAACAUUGUAAUAAAGAAAGAAAUUUCAUCGAAAGAUUGGUAACGAACAAGGUAGGAUCUUGAAGCUCUGAUACCAAACUGAUGUAGGACGAGUAGGGAUUACUUUCCUACAAGUAGUGAGCCCGGGUUAAGUAUACUGGCAGCAACAAUAGUAGACUUUCACGGCUGGAUUUGGUGGGAUUUUAUGACUGUAGAAGUAUUUAAAAAAUAGGAGUUUAAGGAUUUAUAAAAGGGGUAGGAUUGUGGGAAUGAAAACACAAGUGUUUAGGGUCAGUUGGGUGGUUGUUCUAAGAACUGUGAACAGUGGCUUAAACAGUAACCUUGCUGGAUAGAAGUAGAAGAAGAAGAAGAAGAGAGAGAGAGAGAAGUGCCUCACCCUCACAAGGGAUGGACCAAUCACACAAACACAAUCUCAAAUUUUCAUAAUAUUAACUCUGCCCGAGUCAUUAAGAUUACAAAUCUAUUUAUAGGUUAAAGACUCGCCUAAUUCUAUCAGGACUAUAACUCAAAUUUAGAAACUAAAAAUAUUUAACAACUACUAAUAUUCUAGACCAAUUAUGACUUCCAAUUCUAUUUCAAUCUUAAGAAGAAACUUUAAUGACUUCUAAUUCUACUUCAAUAUCAAAAUAACAAUAAAACCCAUAUAUAAUAACCCAUUUAAUAACUUGACCCAAAAUAAAACCCAUGGGCAACCUUACAACCCAUGUCUAGCAAAACUGAAAUUACCAUAAUAUCUUUAACUACUAAAACCUACUAUAAUGACAUGAAGACUCAAAAUAAUUCCAAAUUUUUAAUUCUUGAUGCCCUGAAUGUGCUUCAUAUGAAAUUCCAGAUUUCUUUUUUUCUUCUUUCCAUGAUCCUCAUCAUCAAUAUAUAUACAUGAUUUGUUGUUCUUUUGGAGAUCCGGGAGGUUUUAAUAGGAUCCAAUCAGAUUGAGUCAAACCCAACAUGUUUUUAAUAUUUUCUUCUCAUUUUGUUUUCUUAAAAAGAAAUCAUAAUGUAUAUUUUAAAGAUGUUUAUGAUUAAAGUCACUUGAAAUAUAAAUUAUCUAUUGCUAUUAUAUUGAAAGAAAUAUACUUCAAUAUUACAUGGAUGAGGUCUAUUAAACCUAAUGGUUCUACAAGUUCUUUAGUAUUGGCUCAUUGUUACUUGUAAAUGUAUAUAUGCUUAUGAAAUAUCAGCAUCGUUGUUACGUUAUUGUUACUUGAAAAUUGAGAAUUUGUCUUUGUUUACUUUCUUUAUUAAGAAUGAUUGAGAAGCAAUAUUUAUAAAAAGAAAAAGAUAAGAUAGUGAUCUUACAUAGGAACUAUUGUUAAUGUCUUACCUACUAGACCAUGUAAUCAUUAUUCAAAAUAACAUUUUCAUUUAUUUGAGUCUAAAUAUUUUAUAUUUAUAAGAUAUAUUUAACAAUCAAGUGUGUAGAUAUAUUUUUCUAAGUAAUUUAGAAAAGGUGACCGAAUCUUUAUGGUACACAAUUCGAUUCGAUUCGAGAUUCGAUACAAGGCCAUUUCGAUUCAUGAUUCAAUUUACGAUUUGACGACUAUGAUGGUGAAUACAAUAGAGAACAUGAAGAAUGUUUAUAUCUUUUCCCCUACUCCAAGUUGCUCAACAUCGUCUUAAAAAAAAAGAAAGGCAAGUAGAACAUGUGUUGAGGUGAUAAGGAAGGGUGAUUUCCAUGAACUUAACUGAUGAUAUGACUUUAAAUAGUGCCAACUAGUGGAAAUUGAUUCAUGUAGCUAACCCCAAGUAAUUGGAACAAAGGCUUGUUGAGUUGAGCUGGAGUUGGUAUGACUUCUGACAUGACCUAACUUUUUUUUUUUUAAUCAGCAAAAUGAAUCUUUGUUGAUAAGAAUCAAGGAUAACCUUACAUCAUACAUCAAUAAAGAGGAUACAAAGAUCAAACGGUAGUGCUAUAAGCAUAACAGCAUAAUCAAGUUAUCCCAACUAGGUUGGCACAACCGAACAUGUCCAAUCAUUUGCAGAACCAACCGAAAACGAAGGUUGAGGAGAAAUCAAUCAAGAGAUAGAAAACAACUAGUAACAGGGCUGAAACAAAUAAUAGAAAACAACUAGAAAACUUCAACUGAUGCACAACUCACAGAAGGAUCACAAACCAUGCACCUGCUAUCUUCUAUGAAAACACCUCUGCCUCUAAUGGAAUAUAGGUUGUGCACCAACUCAUUAAGAAGCACCGACAUGGACACAUGACACAGAUACUUUUAGAAUAGGAAAUUAUAUUCAUAUAUUUUAUUCUAAUUGGAUGUAAUGGGCUGUAAUGAGCUGGUCCAUAAUUUAUGCCUUAUGGUACUUUUAUAAUUAUGCUUUAUUCUUAAUAUAAAAGGGGAUGAGGUUUCUCUCAUUCUCUAUCUCUAUCUCUAUCUCUAUCUCGUUCUCUUCUUUAAAUUUACAUAGUAUCAGAGCCCAAACCCUAGCCUAACUCUCGUUACCCUUCUGUCAUCCCUCUCUAGCACCACUGUUGGCAGUCCUUUCUUCCCUCCAGAAGUCCAGUUGGCCACUGUAGACCCUUCAAUGGCCACUGUGGACCCUCACCCAGCCCAAACUGAACCUCUAACAGCCUUACCCAGGCCUUCGGCCGUGCGCCUGGGCUCCCCGACAACCUAUUCGGCUUAGUCGGCAGCCCCUCUGGUCUUUUAGGGGCCUAUUGGCAGCUCCUCUGGCUCUCUUGGCCCCUGUUGGCUUUUCUCUUCCCUUCUAGGCCUCUGUCAACCAACCUCCAGAUAGGUUUCUUCUGUCUCCUGUAAUGUUUUCACCCUGGACAUCGUGGUAGUUGUGUCUUUCCUAACACUAUUAUCUUCCGGGUUUGUAAUUGGCAUUGUGUUUGAGAGUUACAUAGUAGAGUAUCUAUGGCAGAUUCCCUUAGUAAGUCCACUACUUCUCAACCAUCUAAGAGAGAAUCUAUGGCAGAUUCCUUCCACUAUGUCUGAUACCCUUAACCUGAGACUUAAGAUCACCACCUCUCUAUUCAAUGAUCAGAAUUAUCUAGCCUAGUCGCAAAGUCUGACUAUUUUUUUGAAGAGCAAAGGGAAGAUGUGAUAUGUUGAUGGAAGGAUACAUACAUUCAGUAUCACGGAUCCUAGUUAUGACUAAUUGGAAAUCACCAACUCCCUAAUUAUGGGUUGGUUGAUGCAUUCUAUGGUACCUGAGAUUGGCGAGGGCGGCUUGUCUAUAGACACUGCCCAGGAUAUUUGAGAGGCUAUAGCUACUACUUACUCCAGGAAGGGAAACUCCUUACAGGCUUUCGAGUUACAUCGCUCCAUUGAAAGGUCGGUCCAAGGUGAGCAGACUAUCCUCCAGUAUUUUACAUUCCUUAGAAAUGGGUGGAAGCAGCUUGAUCACCUUCAGGAUUACAAACCGGUCUGUCCCACUGAUUCUGUUGGUUAGCAGAAAUUUGUGGCGCAAGAGCAUGUCUUCAAGUUCUUGGAAGGCCUUAAUGUGGAGUAUGAUCCGGCUCGAAGCAGAGUACUUGGCUUGGAUGUGCUUCCUUCUCUCCAGGAAGCCUUUGCUUUUGUGUAGAAUGAGGAGAGUCACCGCUCUGCAAUGCUUCCUUCUGCUACUACUGAUUGCUCGGCCUUGGUUUUUGCACCCCCUCGUGAUGGAGACCGUGUGCCUUGUGGUUCUCGUCCUUCUUCUGAGAAGGAUAAUAUUUUCUGUGACUACUGCCAUAGAGCCCAACACACACGAGAGACGUGGCAGAAGCUACAUGGGACUCCUUCUGGUGGCCGAGGAUACCGUCCUAGUCCUCCAGGGGGUAGGUCUGGUCAGACUAGAGGUCGAGGGGUUAAUGCUUGGGUACAUCUUGCAAACACAGUUGAGCAACCAUCUUCAUCUCCCAUUGUCUUCUUUGCUACUGAUGUUUUGGGGUUAUUUUCCUCGGAUUUUGAGAUUGCUCUUUGCCACUUGCUAGACCGUCGAGCCUCCAUUUCUGCUACAGGUGCACCCUCUUCUUUUUUUGCCAAUUCAGGUAGCUUGGCUUCCUCCACAUGUGCAUUGCUAUCUCAUAUGACUGUACCAUGGAUUAUUGAUUUUGGUGCUUCCAACCAUAUGUCUGGCUGCUCUAAUUUAUUCUCAGAGUAUAAACCCUCCUCAGGUUAGGAAAACGUGCGUGUUGCUGAUGGUACUAUUUCCUCUGUGUCAGGGAAAGAACCUUAUCACAAGGAAGAGGAUUGGCAGUGGUAGAGAGGAACAUGGUCUCUACAUUCUGGAUCAGACAGACAAGCUGACUCAUUCUUCUAUUCAGUUACCAUCCACCAAGGAAGACUUUGGCUGUGGCACCAUCGCUUAUGACAUCCUUCUUUUUUGUUACUUAAGCAUUUAUUUCCUUUUGUUUUUGAGAAAAAUAAUGUGUCAAAUUUUCAACGUGAUUCUUGUCAAUUUGGAAAACAUCACAUAGCCUCUUUUGCUCCUUCUAUUAAUAAAAGUUCAGUUCCAUUUUCUUUGAUUCA